rnacentral:rRNA from 1 species
CAGUCGCCACGGGAAUACGGAGGGUGCAAGCGUUAAUCGGAAUUACUGGGCGUAAAGCGCACGCAGGCGGUCUGUCAAGUCGGAUGUGAAAUCCCCGGGCUCAACCUGGGAACUGCAUCCGAAACUGGCAGGCUAGAGUCUUGUAGAGGGGGGUAGAAUUCCAGGUGUAGCGGUGAAAUGCGUAGAGAUCUGGAGGAAUACCGGUGGCGAAGGCGGCCCCCUGGACAAAGACUGACGCUCAGGUGCGAAAGCGUGGGGAGCAAACAGGAUUAGAUACCCGAGUAGUCCCUGUCUCUUAUAC